AGAUCUGGGGGUGUAGCUCAGUGGGGGAGCCCUUGGAGUGCAUAUGUGAAGCCCUGGGUUUGAUUUCCCAGCGC
rnacentral:miRNA from 1 species